GAGUUUGAUCCUGGCUCAGGACGAACGCUGGCGGCGUGCCUAACACAUGCAAGUCGAACGGAGAACUCAAAAAGCUUGCUUUGAGAGUUCUUAGUGGCGGACGGGUGAGUAACGCGUGGGCAACCUCCCCCUUAAACCGGGACAACCCUUGGAAACGAGGGCUAAUACCGGAUACACUUUUCUGAGGACAUCCUCGGGAAAGGAAAGGCGGCCUCUGAAGAUGCUGCCGAUAAGGGAUGGACCCGCGUCUGAUUAGCUGGUUGGUGGGGUAAAGGCCUACCAAGGCGACGAUCAGUAGCCGGCCUGAGAGGGUGAACGGCCACACUGGGACUGAGACACGGCCCAGACUCCUACGGGAGGCAGCAGUGGGGAAUCUUCCGCAAUGGACGAAAGUCUGACGGAGCAACGCCGCGUGUAUGACGAAGGCCUUCGGGUUGUAAAGUACUGUCUUUAGGGACGAACGGUAUCUAUGUGAACAAUGUAGGUACAUGACGGUACCUAAGGAGGAAGCCCCGGCUAACUACGUGCCAGCAGCCGCGGUAAUACGUAGGGGGCGAGCGUUGUCCGGAAUCAUUGGGCGUAAAGGGCGCGUAGGCGGAUUUUUAAGUCUGGUGUGAAAACUUGGGGCUCAACCCCAAGCCUGCAUCGGAAACUGGGAAUCUUGAGGACAGGAGAGGAAAGUGGAAUUCCACGUGU
rnacentral:rRNA from 1 species